rnacentral:sRNA from 2 species
UGGGAUUUCAUAGUGUAUACCCCUCUAACAAACGCGUACAGGCCCCAAUAAGUCAAAAGCCACGCGAGUACUGCUAGGCAAAUAUGGAGGUCGGCAAGACGACGAAGGCUGGUGUGUAAUUCCUCAUAUUUUCCCUCAUCGAGUAAUGCUUCAAACUCAGCUUGGCGCUCUCUUGCUUGCGAGGAAGGGCAUGUGGCCAUCCAAGCGGCGCCAAUUGCAAAGGCGCAUAAGAGUAGCUGGGUUCUGCUGUUGUCGAUGUGGCAGCUGCGGUUGGGUGAGGUCCUUUUGGCGAAAAGGCAGCUAGCACAACCGAUGAUGGCAAUUCCGACGAAUGAGAACAAUAUAGCAUGCGAGACGAUGCACUGAGUAUUGAUGAUAUGGGGGAAUUGCCGGUUGAGUUUGUCGAAGUCAAGCUCGUUGGAGACCCA